rnacentral:antisense_RNA from 1 species
AGAUCGAUGGGGCUGCACAGAGGUGGCACAGUGGUGCCAGAGGUAGCAGGGACAGAAGGGCUGGCAAGGGAGGGUCCAGGGCUAGGGGAUUCGGAGUGGCUUCAGGCGGACCACGUGGCUACCUUUUUUCCAGGGCCAGACUUUGGCAGCGUGUAAGGUCUGAGGACAGGGGCACCGGAGGCCGAGGAUGAGAGGCCAGUGCCUGUUUCCAGGCAGCCAGGGCCUCAGAAACUCCGGCCGGAGCACUCACCCGUCGGUGGAGGCCGUUACCAGGGCCACCUUAUUCGCAAGCGGGUCCCGGCGGGUCAUCCCGGAGCUGGCCAUCCGCACCGAAUUCCAAGCCCGGGCACAGAGGCCUAGCAGCCCCGUCUUGUGCAUGGCUCAGACCAGCAAGUGCCACUUCGGAUAAACCCUUUGGACUCCUAACUCCAAUCAGGUGUCUGCUUUGUUGAGGACUCACAGACACAGUCUCCUUUCUUCAAGAUCUUUACAAUGCAGGACCUCACUAACACACAGGGGAUGGUCUCCCAGAGGGUCUGUGCUGUUCCUUCACUCAGAACAUCAAGAUGCACUUAAGUAAGGAUCCUCUGUUCUACGGUUCCUGCUAGCUGAGCUAUUCCAUGGGGGCUUCAGCAGGAAAUUCCAAGGUUGGCUUUGACAAGCUAAAGCCGGCUGGUGGAGCACAUCGAGUUCUGGAGGUUCAUGUGUGUUUUCAUGAAGAUCUGUCUGCCAGUAGCAGAUAAAGAGUUGUUGCCCCACUCCUCCUGGGGUCUUCUAUUUUCCUGGGAGGAAUUUCUGGAUUAACUGAACACACACACACACACACACACACCCCUUUGAAGCAUCAACAGUAAUUCUGAGUUCUUAGGGACAAUGCAGAUUAAAUCCACAAUAAGAAAGACAACUAUGGCCAGGUGCGGUGGCUCACGCCUGUAAUCCCAGAACUUUGGGAGGCUGAGGCGGAUGGAUCACCUGAGGUCAGGAGUUAGAGACCAACCUGACCAACAUGGAGAAACCCCGUUUCUACUAAAAAUACAAAAUUAGCCGGGCAUGGUGGCAGGCGCCUGUAAUCCCAACUACUCAGGAGGCUGAGGCAGGAGAAUCGCUUAAACCCGGGAGGCAGAGGUUGCAGUGAGCCAAGAUCGCGCCAUUGCACUCCAGCCUGGGCAAGAAGAGCAAAACUCCAUCUCAAAAAAAAAAAA